CAUAAAUAUUUUUUGCAUCUGAGCUCCUAGUGUGUGCGGCACUCCUUUAAUUUUUUUUAAAUAUAAUUUAUUUAGGCACAUUCUUUAAAUAUUUUAUCAGUCCAAUAAAAAUAAACUUAUCAGUAUCACCUGCAUUUGUGCGAGAUGAGUGGGUUGUUGCUCAAGGAGAGAGAGACUGUCAGACACUGCAGCAGCAGGUAGGCCUAGCCCAGACCUGGGCAAUUAUUUUCCAUGGAGGGACACAUUAGAAUAUAUUUUUGCCAUCGUGGGCUAGAAUCAUAUUACAGGAUUAUACAUUGUGUAUGACUGUGACAUCUACUGUAAAUCACAUCCAGAUAUGCUACUUAUUUUACUUUUUUAACAUGCACAGAAAUAAACCACCUCCAUUUUCUCCUUUUGGUAGGUAUUUUCAUUAUUAAACAUGCAAUGAACUACACGGAGGGAAAAGUACAUUCAGCACCACGAACAGAACUCUUUUUAACGGGUAUGCACAAAAACACGAGAGCUCAACAUUACAUUUUAAACUACUCAAUCAGUGUGAGGAGUUAAGUCUGAUGGGUGUUGACUAGAGCAGUGAAGUCGAUUAUAGUUUCUGACGUCGCUAUGCACAGGAUUGCUUAGGAAGUGAGUCGGUAAGAGAUGAUCUGACUUGUUAUAUUUCAUCACUGAAAAUAUCUGUUCACAUACAUAGGUUGACCCAAACAGUACCUCUUCUGAGCAUGACUCCUAAUCUUUGGAAAGUUUUGUUCAAGAGAUGCAUAGAACCUCAUCAGUGACAGUGUUUUGAAUAGUUUUCCAAUCACUGCAUCAGACUGAAGAUCGAUAAGCUCAAGUUGCAGGUCCGUGGGAGCGUUAUCCACAUUGAAGGUGAAAGGAGAGGAAACCAACAGCAUGUCAUUUUCCAACACUUUGAAAUCCUCAAAACGACGAGAGAACUCACUGUUCAAAGCAUGCAGCAGCGAUGUAUACUUCUCCAGCUGAACAUCUGAUAGGGAACACACUAGCAGUGUCAGAAGGUGGGUGAGAUUGUUGGCUUCUAGCUGGCGGGUCAGGAGCAGUAAUUUUCCCUUGAAGGCUGACAAGGCUGUACAUCUGAUGUGCAAAAAAGGCCCUUCCCUUCUAGUUUGGAAUUCAGUUCAUUCAUGAGGGCCAUGAUGUCCACUGUGAAGGCAAAAUCAGCCAACCACUCUUUAUCUUGCAGUUGAGGGAAAUACACAUUUUCCUUUCAUUUGCAAAAACUCCGCAAUCUCCAACUUCAGGUCCCACACCCUUUUUAAGCACAUUCCCCAGUCUCAGCCAUCUCACCUUUGUGUGGUAGGGGAGAUCUGUAUGACAGGACUCUCUUCCAACAGUUAGACAAACUGCCUGUGCUUUAAAGAUUUUGUUCUUAUGAAAUUUACCACUUUAGUGACUAUCCACAACAUGGCUAAUUUUCAGAACACAUUUACAGAGCACCUCCUGAUGAAUAAUGCAAUGCAGGAAAAUACUUUUCUGAUCUGGGUUCAGCUCAGCUACUCGAUCUUGUAUCCUUUACAAAAGGCCAAUGUUUUUUCCUGUCAUGUUUGGGCACCCAUCAGUGGUCACACUGGAUAACUUUUCAAAACUCAGUCCCAGCUUUGCCACACACUUAUUAACCGACUCCAACACAUCGUUCCCUGUGGUUGUGCUCUUCAUUGAAGCAAACUCCUCUGUAAUUUCAAAGUAUGGGGUUAUGCCUCGUAAGAAUAUCAACAACACGCCGUGUCACUGUUCGUUUUGACAGGUAAACAUUUUUAAACAGCUCUUUCUUGUCGGGGAAAAGUAUUGCUGCAGAGUCGAUACAUGUUUUUUUUUUAAUGAAUUCCCCCUCAGCGAAUGGCUUACUAUGUUUAGCAAUUUCGUGGGACAGUACAUAGCUAGCUCUCGCAAUGUCGUUGUUUGCGGAAUGCAAUUUUGUGAAAAGUCCUUGCUGCUUUUGCAACUGAGAAAGAAACUCUUUCGAUGCAGUUCUGCUAAGAAAAUAUAUUCCUAUGUUGCAUUGUUAUACAGGACCAGUCAAAAGUUUGGACACCUACUCAUUCCCAGGUUUUUCUUUAUUUUUACAAUGUUCUACAUUGUAGAAUAAUAGUGAAGACAAACUAUGAAAUAACACAUAUGGAAUCAUGUAGUAACCAAAAGUGUUUAAACAAAUCAAAAUAUAUUUGAAAUGAUUCUUCAAAGUAUCCACCCUUUGCCUUGGUGACAGCUUUGCACACUCUAGGCAUGCUCUCAACCAGCUGCACGAGGUAGUGACCUGUAAUGCAUUUCAAUUAACAGGUGUGCCUUGUUAAGUUAAUUUGUGGAAUUUCUUUCCUUAAUGUGUUUGAGCCAAUUAGUUGUGUUGUGAUAAGGUAGGGGUGGUAUACAGAAGAUAGCCCUAUUUGGUAAAAAACCAAGUCCAUUCAAUGGCAAGAACAGCUCAAAUAAGCAAAUAGAAACGACAGUCCAUCAUUGUUUUAAGACAUGACAUUGUCAAUGCUGAAAUGUAAGAACUUUUGAACAUUUUUUGAAGUGCAGUCACAAAAACCAUCAAGCGCUAUGAUGAAGCUGGCUCUCAUGAGGACCGCCACAGGAAAGGAAGACCCAGAGUUACCUCUGCUGGAGAGGUUAAGUUAAUUAGAUUUACCAUCCUCAGAAAUUGAAGCAGAAAUAAAUGCUUCAGAGUUCAAGUAACAGACACAUCUCAACAUCAACUGUUCAGAGGAGACUGCGUGAAUCAGGCCUUCAUGGUCAAAUUGUUGCAAAGAAACCACUACUAAAAGACACCAAUAAAGACCUGCUUCCAAGAAACCGGAGCAAUGGACAUUAGACCAGUGGAAAUCUGUCCUUUUGUCUGAGGAGUACAAAUGAGAUUUUUUGUUUCAACCGCCAUGUCUUUGUGAGACAGAGUAGGUGAACUUCGUGAGCUCUGCAUGUGUGGUUCCCACUGUGAAGCAUGGAAGAAGUGUGAUGGUGCUUUGCUGGUGAGACUGAUUUAUUUAGAAUUCAAGCCACACUUAACCAGCAUGGCUACCACAGCCUUCUGCAGAAAUACGCCAUCACGUCUGGUUUUCACUUCGUCUCCCUAUCAUUUGUUUCUCAACAGGACAAUGACUCAACACGCCUCCAGGCUGUGUAAGGGCUAAUUGACCAAGACGGAGAGUGAUUGAGUGCUGCAUCAGAGGACCUGGCCUCCAUAAUCACCUGACCUCAACCCAAUUGAGAUGGUUUGGGAUGAGUUGGACCGCAGAUUGAAGGAAAAGCAGACAACAAGUGCUCAGCAUAUGUGGGAACUCCUUCAAGACUGCUGGAAAAACAUUCCAGGUGCUACAGAGAGAAUAUUCCAAGGACCACCAAAGCCUUCUGGCCAACAACCUGCAAUCUCUCCAGAGUAGAGAAGUGAGUCUGCUGGGCCAUGGAACUCUAGAGCAGCACGUGUAAAAACCUGCCACCCUGUUGUCAGCCAUCAGCAGACAGUUAGUUCCCUGAGGAAGGAUGCAACUGUGAAGGCUUUUCAAUGGCCAAAUGUAGGGGGGAGGGGGUUGAUCCCCAACCACAAUAAAGUUUUGUAGUUUUGUCUA